CUGACGAGUGGCGGACGGGUGAGUAAUGUCUGGGAAACUGCCUGAUGGAGGGGGAUAACUACUGGAAACGGUAGCUAAUACCGCAUAACGUCGCAAGACCAAAGAGGGGGACCUUCGGGCCUCUUGCCAUCGGAUGUGCCCAGAUGGGAUUAGCUUGUUGGUGGGGUAACGGCUCACCAAGGCGACGAUCCCUAGCUGGUCUGAGAGGAUGACCAGCCACACUGGAACUGAGACACGGUCCAGACUCCUACGGGAGGCAGCAGUGGGGAAUAUUGCACAAUGGGCGCAAGCCUGAUGCAGCCAUGCCGCGUGUAUGAAGAAGGCCUUCGGGUUGUAAAGUACUUUCAGCGGGGAGGAAGGGAGUAAAGUUAAUACCUUUGCUCAUUGACGUUACCCGCAGAAGAAGCACCGGCUAACUCCGUGCCAGCAGCCGCGGUAAUACGGAGGGUGCAAGCGUAAUCGGAAUUACUGGGCGUAAAGCGCACGCAGGCGG
rnacentral:rRNA from 1 species